UACGUAGGGACCAAGCGUUGUUCGGAUUUACUGGGCGUAAAGGGCGCGUAGGCGGCAAUUCAAGUCAUCUGUGAAAUCUCCGGGCUUAACUCGGAAUGGUCAGGUGAUACUGCUUUGCUAGAGUGCAGAAGGGGCAAUCGGAAUUCUUGGUGUAGCGGUGAAAUGCGUAGAUAUCAAGAGGAACACCUGAGGUGAAGACGGGUUGCUGGGCUGACACUGACGCUGAGGCGCGAAAGCUAGGGGAGCAACCGGG
rnacentral:rRNA from 1 species